ACUUUUGAAUAUUGUUGAUUGAAAUUGUAUUGUUAAACUGCUUUACAGAACAAUGGCUGAAGCAUCAUCAUCACAAUCAAACAACACCAGAAAAGAUGACUAUCCAUGCAAUCUUGAAGGGUAUCUUCAUCAGCUGAAUCCC